AUUGAACGCUGGCGGCAUGCUUUACACAUGCAAGUCGAACGGUAACACGCCUUCGGGUCCUGACUAGUGUCGGCCGGGUGCGUAAUGCUUCGGAACGUAUCCCCUGCCUGUGGGUCACGCAUCGCUACCUGUGCUCAUACCUCAUGUGAUCUGAUGUUGUAAGCGGGGUGCCUAACAGCAGUGUUUCGCCUUUCCCCUUUCUAGCGGCCGAUGUCGGAUUAGCUAGUUGGUGGGGUAAAGGCCUACCAAGGCGACGAUCCGUAGCUGGUCUGAGAGGACGACCAGCCACACUGGGACUGAGACACGGUCCAGACUCCUACGGGAGGCAGCAGUGGGGAAUUUUGGACAAUGGGCGAAAGCCUGAUCGAGCAAUGCCGCGUGCGGGAAGAAGGUCUUCGGGUUGUAAAACGCUGUUAGCAGGAAAGAAAAGGUGUGUGAGAAUACCGGGAGAUAAUGACGGUACCUGCAGAAAAAGCAACGGCUAACUACGUG
rnacentral:rRNA from 1 species